rnacentral:tRNA from 2 species
UCCUCUAUAGCUCAGUUGGUCAGAGCGUGCGGCCGUUAACGUGAGGCUGACACCGCGAGGUCGCCAGUUCGAGCCUGGCUGGAGGAG